AACGAACGCUGGCGGCAUGCCUAACACAUGCAAGUCGAACGAGACCUUCGGGUCUAGUGGCGCACGGGUGCGUAACGCGUGGGAAUCUGCCCUUCGGUUGGGAAUAACUGAGAGAAAUUUCAGCUAAUACCUUAUAAUGUCUUCGGACCAAAGAUUUAUCGCCGAGGGAUGAGCCCGCGUAGGAUUAGGUAGUUGGUGGGGUAAUGGCCUACCAAGCCGACGAUCCUUAGCUGGUCUGAGAGGAUGAUCAGCCACACUGGGACUGAGACACGGCCCAGACUCCUACGGGAGGCAGCAGUGGGGAAUAUUGGACAAUGGGCGAAAGCCUGAUCCAGCAAUGCCGCGUGAGUGAUGAAGGCCUUAGGGUUGUAAAGCUCUUUUACCCGGGAUGAUAAUGACAGUACCGGAAGAAUAAGCUCCGGCUAACUCCGUG
rnacentral:rRNA from 1 species